GAUGAACGCUGGCGGCGUGCCUAAUACAUGCAAGUCGAGCGAACAGACGAGGAGCUUGCUCCUCUGACGUUAGCGGCGGACGGGUGAGUAACACGUGGAUAACCUACCUAUAAGACUGGGAUAACUUCGGGAAACCGGAGCUAAUACCGGAUAAUAUAUUGAACCGCAUGGUUCAAUAGUGAAAGACGGUUUUGCUGUCACUUAUAGAUGGAUCCGCGCCGCAUUAGCUAGUUGGUAAGGUAACGGCUUACCAAGGCGACGAUGCGUAGCCGACCUGAGAGGAUGAUCAGCCACACUGGAACUGAGACACGGUCCAGACUCCUACGGGAGGCAGCAGUAGGGAAUCUUCCGCAAUGGGCGAAAGCCUGACGGAGCAACGCCGCGUGAGUGAUGAAGGUCUUCGGGUCGUAAAACUCUGUUAUUAGGGAAGAACAAAUGUGUAAGAAACUAUGCACGUCUUGACGGUACCUAAUCAGAAAGCCACGGCUAACUACGUG
rnacentral:rRNA from 1 species